rnacentral:rRNA from 1 species
UACGUAGGGUGCAAGCGUUGUCCGGAAUUAUUGGGCGUAAAGAGCUCGUAGGCGGUCUGUCGCGUCGGCUGUGAAAUCCCGAGGCUCAACCUCGGGUCUGCAGUCGAUACGGGCAAACUGGAGUGUUGCAGGGGAGACUGGAAUUCCUGGUGUAGCGGUGAAAUGCGCAGAUAUCAGGAAGAACACCCGUGGCGAAAGCGGCUCUCUGGAACGGUACUGACGCUGAGACGCGAAAGCGUGGGGAGCGAACAGG